rnacentral:lncRNA from 1 species
GUUCUCGUUCUGGAGGUGCCGUCUUACAUGACGGUCCAUGCCAAAGGAAAUGUGGACGGGUACGUUCUCGAAAAUCUGAAAGCAAGGCUGGAGCAGUGGUUGAGGUCAAGAAGAAGGUGCAGCCUAAAGAGCAAGAAGAUGACAUUGUUGAUGCAAGCGCUCUUGAUGAUCAAGGUGACAGUGAUUAUAACCAGCUGAUGAGGAGGCCAGAUCCAGACUGGCUGUCAGGCACUUCACUCCUCUUCCCUCCUGCUCUUCAUCAUGUCCCACGUCUACCUCACGGAAAUGUCCUCGCAGGAUGGUGGGACCUCCUCGCAAAUUUCUUCCAGAUUCAGGUGAAAAGCCCUUCUCCUGUAAAAUGUGCCACUUUACGACACGACACAGGAAGAACCUGCGACUACAUGUGCAAUGUCGCCACCCUGAGACUUUUCAAGAGUCGAACACAUCCAGAUGAGCCGAUCUGACGACGACAGACGCCUGUUUUCACCCUGAAGCAGAUUGAGGAGCUGAGGUUACAGCAUGAAAACCAGGAAUUUCAAGAGACCAUUACACACUGAUGAUCUGAGCCUGGAUCGUCAAACAGUGAGAGGCCGUUCAUCACAGCAUAGAAAACUAUACAAAUCAAGAAACAUGAAAGGAAAAGUAUCACCUCAAGCAACCAAAUUUUGAGCAAUUUCAUGCAAAUGUCAACCCUGAAAAGUUUUCUCCAAAAUAGCGAAACCCUUUGUAGGUUUUUGUGUGUGUGUAGGCUUGUGUUUUACAGUGCUGUA